rnacentral:rRNA from 1 species
CUGGUUGAUCCUGCCAGUAGUCAUAUGCUUGUCUCAAAGAUUAAGCCAUGCAUGUCUAAGUAUAAGCACUUGUACUGUGAAACUGCGAAUGGCUCAUUAAAUCAGUUAUCGUUUAUUUGAUUGUACCUUACUACAUGGAUACCUGUGGUAAUUCUAGAGCUAAUACAUGCGAAAGAUCCCGACUUCACGGAAGGGAUGUAUUUAUUAGACUAAAAACCAAUGCGGGCCUCGGUCCGCUUGCUUGGUGAUUCAUGAUAACUUUUCGAAUCGCAUGGCCUUGCGCCGGCGAUGUUUCAUUCAAAUUUCUGCCCUAUCAACUGUCGAUGGUAAGGUAGUGGCUUACCAUGGUUGCAACGGGUGACGGAGAAUUAGGGUUCGAUUCCGGAGAGGGAGCCUGAGAAACGGCUACCACAUCUAAGGAAGGCAGCAGGCACGAAAAUUACCCAAUCCCGAUUCGGGGAGGUAGUGACAAGAAAUAACGGUACGGGGCCUUUAUAGGUCUCGCAAUCGGAAUGAGAACAAUUUAAAUCCUUUAACGAGGAUCAAUUGGAGGGCAAGUCUGGU